UACGGGGGGAGCAAGCGUUAUCCGGAAUGAUUGGGCGUAAAGCGUUUGUAGGUGGCUUGUAAAGUCUACUGUCAAAUAUCAGGGCUCAACCCUGAGCAGGCAGUGGAGUACUCACAAGCUAGAGUGUGGUAGAGGUAGAGGGAAUUCCAUGUGGAGCGGUGAAAUGCGUAGAGAUAUGGAAGAACACCAGCGGCGAAAAGCGCUCUACUGGGCCAAGACUGACACUGAGAAACGAAAGCCAGGGGAGCGAAAAGG
rnacentral:rRNA from 1 species